UGGUCCUUUUAAAAGGGAGUGGGAGCCAAUGCACCUGGACUGAUUACUGUCUGCCCAGUAGGGCUUAAAGGAAGACACCUGGGCCUUAUAAAGGGGGAGACAACUGCAGCUAAUUGUUGGCAGGUGCUUGCAGACAGUAAAAAGGCUUCUGCUGGGUCCUGAGUCAAUAGAGGGAAGGCCAAUGGAGUAGGCUAAACUCUAGAGGCUGCUGCAGCAGCCUUUCUUAGGAGUUCCCAGGGCAGGUCCUUCUCCCUGCCCUAUCAGCCCUUAUGGAGAUGGAUUAAUUAAUGGUCUAUGAAGGUACAUUGAGCCAAAUUUACACUGCAUUGUGGGCGAGCUGUGAAGGUACUGCAGGCAGUAGGGGUGGAAGGGCCUGCAACAAGACACACAGGGCUCAGUGCAGGAGCACAGAAUUAAUUCUUGUAGAAUUUCGAGGAUAUAAAAUGUUACUUUCAAAACUGAGCUUCAAUAUAUUGCAAAAG